UGGGCGUUUGAAGCAAUUCCUAGUGUUGGAAAGAAAUUCGAUCGUGUAACAGAUGAUUCCAGAAUUCCAAGAAUGAUAGCCUAGGAAAUGUGCAAGCAAGUUAGAGGGGAUAUCCUUUGCACAUUUUUUGUAUCGUCAAAUAUAGAGGUACAUUGUGUGCUAAAUCCUACAAAUGAUGAAUUGUUGGAGCUGUUUUGGAAGGAAUCUGGACCUUCUAAUGAUGAAGUGGAUCCUAAGCUGGAUAAUGUCACUUCAGAGGAUGAAGGCCAAAAAAUUCUGAAAGUGAUGAUGCAUAAUCAAGUUCCGAUCGCCCACAAUGUCCUAAGACGUCGGAUCGACUAUCUGUUUCUAGCCAUCUACAUUCAUCUAAAACAACUAGACGACCCUCUCCUUCUUAUGACUAUAUCACUCAUAUACUAAAACAAGAAAUAAGAAGAGUUGAAGAGAGGCUGUGAGGUGAGAUGUCAGAGCGCUUCGAUCGAGUAGAAAGAAAAAUUGAUUUCUUUCUCCAAUUGACUGGUAGAGGUGGAGUUCAGUCUAAGAGAAGCGAAUUUGAUGAUCGAGCUUUUAGUACAGCAAUCAACUAAACAAAAAGGCAAGAGAGCAACAUGAGGUGAUUAUUGAAGAAUGAUCUCAUGAAGAAGUCACAUUGAAUAAGCAAAACAAGGCUUUUCCUACAUAUGAUGAUGCCUUUAGUCUGGACUGGAGAGAAUUUUUAGACCGAAGAAGCUCGACAAGAUGAGGUAAUAGAGAAGGCGGUUGGGACGAAAGAUGAUUCAAACAUAUUUAACAAAGACGAUUCUGGGGAGCUUUCAACAUCUUCACAUGUUUUCCAACCUAGUAAUAAAAUCAUUGAGAUUGACGAUCCGAAUUCUGAGUUGACUGUUGGAAAGGGCAUCGAGUUAAGAGAAAAGCAACCGUGAUGCUUUCUCCAUACACUAAUCCCUUAAGGAGGAGAAAAUUGUUGAACAUUCAAGUAUAUGAUCCUUUAAGGAAAGUAGAUCCUACAAAAGUUGAAGACCUCAACAAGUGGUUGGCAAAUGCAUCGCAGAGGUAAUUUAUUUUAUUCCAGUGAAAAAUCAAAUUUCUUCUUUGUUAAUUUCCAACAAAACGUUAAAUCUUCAGCUUAUAGCAUUAAUUGCCUUUGAAUUGCAUGCUAGACCACUUCUUUAUGGUUUGUUUUGGUGUAUUAUACGGUCUGUCAUCCAAAACUAUAUAAGGUAGGUAAAAUAAAUGACGGACUCGCAUCUUGAUAAGAGUUUGAGUCAAAUAAUAAAUUCAAUUAGUCAAGUCUAAAAUGAGUCGACGUCUACUGGAACUCGCAUUGGUUCAACUAUUGGCUCCCUCUGAAACCUAAGUCAUUUGUGUUGAUUAAGAUCAAUAGCAAAUUGGUUCCUAAACUUCUCGGUGGCAUAUCGAUAUCCUUUUUCCAUUCUUGUUCAAUUCAUUUCUUUUCCAACGCAUUCAAUUGAACCCUCCAAUUGUCAUUAUGUGCUCAGAAUCAUCUACUAAAUUUGUGCAAUUUAGUCUCUAAACUUUUGAUUUUUCUAUUUUGCCAUUUUCUCCAAUUCCAUUAAUUUACAUCGAACUAUACUAACAAAUGAAAUUUAUAUAAAAUUAAGACUCAAUUUAUCCAAAUUAACAAUAAUUGAUCUAGUUUAAUGACUCAGAUAAGUGCAUAAAAAUAUAAAAUAGACUUAUCAAAUACUUCCAAACUCGAACAAUUAUUUGUCUGCUUAACUGAAACAAAAAUUUUCACAAACAUGGGUAGGUAAUCUGUAGCUAGGCUUAAAAUUGUAAAUUUUGAGUUAUACUAUGAAAUGCUUCAAAAUCACAUUACUAAAAUUAAUCUCUACUUAUCCAAUGCAAAACCAACAUACGCACGUGAAGAUGUAUGUAACAUAUCAUAGUCAUAAAUUAAUUCAAUUCUUGACCUUCAAUGGUUAAAUAUUUUAUUUCUUCACUUGUAAGGAAAAAAGUGAUCCUUCCUAGUUGCAUUGUCGACAAGUAAAUAUAGUCUUCUCCUGAUCUUCUAGUGCUAUAGGAAUAUGAUUAUAGCCUAAAUACCCAUCCAGAAAGUAGUAAUGUAAUUGUCAAACGAGUCUCUUUAACAUCUUAUCAAUGAAAGAAAGGAAAAAUGCGAUCCUUCCUAGCUGCAUUGUUGAGUUUGUGAUGGUCAAUAUAAACUCUUCAAUCUAUGACUAUGCUUUGAGGAAUCAACUUGUUGUUUUCAUUAACCAGAUUAUAAUUCCUCCAUUCUCUAGUACUACAUAUAUUGGACUAACUUAAUUACUAUUUGAUAUAGGAUAUAUGUCCAAGCAUUCAAUAAUUUCAGUACUUCUGCCUUCACAGCCUCCUACAUAUUUGAAUUUAAUCUAAGAUGCCGCUCUAUUGACAAUUUAAACUCUUAUUCCAUCAAAAUUUUGUACAUAUAAGGAGAAGGGAUGAUCUCUUUUAUGUUAAGAUAGUCCUCCAAUUGCUGUUUUAUGAUCUCGAAGUACCCUCAAUAGUUGAUCUUCUUCAUCUUUGUUAAAAACAUUUAAGAUGAUUAUUGGAGGUGUAUUUUUCUCUUCCAAGAAGGCAUAAUGUGAGUGUGAAGGCAACUGUUUAAGUUCAUGAACUGGAUCUUUUUGAAUUGAUGGUAAAGGUAUUGUAGGGUCUUUACCUAGAUCUAACUGUGUCAGAUUCAAAAUUGGAAGAUUGCCUUUCAACUACUGAACACAUUCUUCUAUCUUUUUUUAGUCAGAUGAUAGUUCUUUAGAAUGAGCCAAUUGUGCCUCAAGUGGAUCUUAAGGAUGAUAAAUUUGAAUACCUCCAUCAUUGCCGUAUUUAUUAUAUCAAUUACACAAAAAGAAUCUGGUUCAUCAUCGAAUUUGAGUGCAUCGAAGACGUUGCUGGUCGAUUCUUCACUAUUCAUCCUAAGGGUCAAUAGUUCAUUCUGCAUAUCAAUCAAUGCUCUAUCAAUAGUGAAAAAUGGAUAAUCUAGUAUGAGAGAGAUGUUUUGUCUUCUUUCAUGUUAUGAUGAUAAAGUCUGCUGGGAAUAAAAAUUUGUCAAUCUUCACUAAAAUAUCUUCAACAAUCCUCAUUAUGUACUUGAUUGAUCUGUCUGCCAACUAUAGUAUAACUAAAGUAGCUUUUGCUUUCCCUAAAUCUAGUUUCCUAAAAAGAGACAAAGGCGUUAAAUUAACAAUUGCUUUUAAAUCACGUGAUGCCUGUUCUAUGCGUUUAUUACCAAUGUAACAAGGAAUAGUAAAUUUUUUUGGAUCUUUUAAUUUUGGCAGUAAGUUGUUUUUGAAGUAUUACACUGCAUCCUUUGAUCAGCAUUACCAUUUCAUUAUCUUUUAGCUUCCUUUUAUUUAGGAAUACGUCCUUCAUAAAUUUCGCAUACUCAGGCAUUUGGGCUAAGGCUUUGCAAAUGGUACAUUGAUGUGAAUCUUUCUGAACACCUCCAAACACUUCGCGAACUACUUAUCAAGCUUGUAUUUUUGCAAUUUUUACGAGAAUGGUAUGUAUUUCUUGAUAGCAAUGGUUGCCUUAAAUUGUAGACUAUCUGAUGUAUCUACCUAAAUUUCCUCUAUUAAGCUGAUCUACGUGUUCCUCACUCAUAGUAGAAACUUUUUCUGUGGUAAUAGAUGGUCUUUUCAAUGUUA